CCUUCUCAUGAUGACUACAUUUUAAAUUCUUGAUAGGAAGAGUAUGAUACACAAUGAGUACUAAACAAACAAGCUGACAAAGCC